AGCAUGUGGUUAAUUCGAUGAUACGCGAAGAACCUUACCGGGUUGACAUGCAGGUGAUCGCCGUUGAAAGACGGGUUUCCUCUUCGGAGGCGACCUGCACAGGUGCUGCAUGGCUGUCGUCAGCUCGUGUCGUGAGAUGUUGGGUUAAGUCCCGCAACGAGCGCAACCCUUAUCCCCAGUUGCCAUCAGGUAAAGCUGGGAACUCUGGGGAGACUGCCGGUGGAUAAACCGGAGGAAGGCGGGGAUGACGUCAAGUCCUCAUGGCCCUUACAUCCCGGGCUACACACGUGCUACAAUGGCAGGUACAAAGGGUUGCCAACCCGCGAGGGGGAGCUAAUCCCACAAAGCCAGUCGUAGUCCGGAUCGUAGUCUGCAACUCGACUACGUGAAGUCGGAAUCGCUAGUAAUCGUGGAUCAGAAUGUCACGGUGAAUACGUUCCCGGGUCUU
rnacentral:rRNA from 1 species